rnacentral:rRNA from 1 species
AUGCCUAUGAAUUAUUCACUUGUUAUUGAACCAUUUGAUGUUUGGGGCUUUGGUUACUUGGGACCUUUUCCUUCCUCUAAUGGGUAUACACAUAUUUUAGUUGCUGUUGAUUACGUUACUAAGUGGGUAGAAGCUAUUUCAACUAGUAGUGCUGAUCAUAACACCUCUAUUAAGAUGCUUAAAGAAGUUAUUUUUCCGGGGUUUGGAGUCCCUAGAUAUCUAAUGACUGAUGGUGGUUCACAUUUUAUUCAUGGUGCUUUUCGUAAAAUGCUUGCUAAGUAUGAUGUUAAUCAUAUAAUUGCAUAUCCAUAUCACCCACAGUCUAGUGGUCAAGUAGAAUUAAGUAAUAGAGAGCUCAGAUUAGUUUUGCAAAAGACUGUUAAUAGAUCUAGGAAGAAUUGGUCCAAGAAACUUGAUGAUGCAUUAUGGGCUUAUAGAACUGCAUACAAAAAUCCUAUGGGCAUGUCUCUGUAUAAAAUGGUUUAUGGCAAAGCAUAUCACUUACCUCUUGAAUUAGAACAUAAGGCAUAUUGGGCUAUCAAAGAGCUCAAUUAUGAUUUCAAACUUGCUGGUAAGAAGAGGUUAUUUGACAUUAGCUCACUUGAUGAAUGGAGAACCCAAACCUACGAGAAUGCCAAACUGUUUAAAGAAAAAGUUAAAAGAUGGCAUGACAAAAGGAUACAAAAGCAUGAGUUUAAUGUAUGUGAUUAUGUAUUGCUAUACAACUCUCGUUUAAGAUUUUUUGCAGGCAAACUUCUCUCUAAAUGGGAAGGCCCUUACGUUAUCGAGGAGGUCUAUCGUUCCGGUGGCAUAAAAAUCAACAACUUCGAAGGCACAAAUCCGAGGGUGGUGAACGGUCAAAGAAUCAAACAUUAUAUCUUAGGUAAUCCUAUAAAUGUUGAAACCAAUGUUAUUGAAACCAUAACCCCAGAGGAAUACAUAAGGGACACUUUCCGGAACUUUUCAGACUCCGAAAAGGAAUAG